rnacentral:sRNA from 1 species
GUAUGGCUCAGAAUGGCUCCCUACACAAGGAAGGACAAUUAAGUUUCUGAUACUACUCCUCAUGUACCGGGACAACUCACAGACUAAUGGUGCUUGAAAGUCUUAGGACAGCCCCAGAUCUCAGAGGACCUCAGAAACAGAAUUCACAGUUCACAAGAUGUUGCAGUGUUUAAACAGAAAGCAUUCUGCUAUGGCAAAGAGUGAUGAAAAACCAACAUAUAGUGUGUAAUCCUGGGAAAGUUGAACAUAACUACAGCUUCAGGAUACACUCAUCUCUAAGUCUUGAGUGUACUGCCCUUGUGUUCUCAUCUGCAUGAGUUCUGCUAGUGUGAAGAAAUCACAUGCAGGGUAAGUUUAACACUCAAAUUUCUAAAUGAAAUUCAA